GAUGAACGCUAGCUACAGGCUUAACACAUGCAAGUCGAGGGACCGGCGCACGGGUGAGUAACACGUACCCAACCUGCCCUUUACUCGGGGAUAGACUUUCGAAAGAAAGAUUAAUACCCGAUGUAAAGGAUGGGGAUGCGUUCCAUUAGGUUGUUGGUGAGGUAACGGCUCACCAAGCCUUCGAUGGAUAGGGGUUAUGAGAGGAAGGUCCCCCACAUUGGAACUGAGACACGGUCCAAACUCCUACGGGAGGCAGCAGUGAGGAAUAUUGGUCAAUGGGCGUUCGCCUGAACCAGCCAAGUAGCCUGAAGGAUGAAGGCUUAUGUGUCAUAAACUUCUUUUAUAUAAGAAUAUGUAUUAUAUGAAUAAGGAUCGGCUAACUCCGUGCCAGCCGCCGCGGUAAUAC
rnacentral:rRNA from 1 species